GCCGGGUGUGGUGGUGCAUGCCUGUAAUCCCAGCUACUCAGGAGGCUGGGGUAGGAGAAUCACUUGAACCUGGGAGGUGGAGGUUGCAGUGAGCCAAGAUGGCGCCAUUGCACUCCAGCCUGGGUAAUAGAGUGAGACUCUAUCUCAA
ensembl:misc_RNA Metazoa_SRP Metazoan signal recognition particle RNA